UGUUGGUGAUUUCGGUUUGGCCAAGCUAAUUGAUAUCUCAAAGUCUAAAUCAAUGUCUGCAGUUGUUGGUUCUUACGGCUACAUUGCACCUGGUGUUCAAUGAUCCCACGACAUUAACAGAGGAGGAGUUGUAUGAUUUGCGAGACCGCUGGGCAACUUGUUUUCUUCAACUAUAUAAUCCCGAGGUAGAUUAUGAUGAUGCCGACGAGAAAGAUUAGGAGCUAGCUAGGUUUGUGUGAAGUUACAAUGUACUAGUUAUGAUGAUGUUUUAAUUUGUAUUUUGGAUGGAUUAGUAUUAAUUAUUAUGAUGUUUUGUAUUUUGGAUUACAAUGUGGUUGUACUUUAAUGACAUUAUUACUAUA